rnacentral:rRNA from 1 species
AGUGGCGGACGGGUGAGUAACGCGUGAGAAUCUGCCUUGGGGUCGGGGACAACCACUGGAAACGGUGGCUAAUACCGGAUAAGCCGAUUGGUGAAAGAUUUAUUGCCCGAAGAGGAGCUCGCGUCUGAUUAGCUAGUUGGUGAGGUAAGAGCUCACCAAGGCAGCGAUCAGUAGCUGGUCUGAGAGGACGAUCAGCCACACUGGGACUGAGACACGGCCCAGACUCCUACGGGAGGCAGCAGUGGGGAAUUUUCCGCAAUGGGCGAAAGCCUGACGGAGCAAGACCCUGAGGGAGGAAGGCUCUUGGGUUGUAAACCUCUUUUCUCAGGGAAGAAUCUCUGACGGUACCUGAGGAAUCAGCCUCGGCUAACUCCGUGCCAGCAGCCGCGGUAAUACGGAGGAGGCAAGCGUUAUCCGGAAUUAUUGGGCGUAAAGCGUCCGCAGGUGGCGAUUCAAGUCUGCUGUCAAAGCACGGGGCUUAACUCCGUAAAGGCAGUGGAAACUGAAUAGCUAGAGUGCCGUAGGGGUAGAGGGAAUUCCCGGUGUAGCGGUGAAAUGCGUAGAGAUCGGGAAGAACAUCGGUGGCGAAAGCGCUCUACUGGACGGCAACUGACACUCAGGGACGAAAGCUAGGGGAGCGAAUGGGAUUAGAUACCCC